CCUACGGGUGGCAGCAGUCGAGAAUUUUUCACAAUGGGGGAAACCCUGAUGGAGCGACGCCGCGUGGGGGAUGAAUGGCUUCGGCCCGUAAACCCCUGUCAUUUGCGAAUCAGUAGCGAAAGAGGAAGGGACGGCUAACUCUGUGCCAGCAGCCGCGGUAAUACAGAGGUCCCAAGCGUUGUUCGGAUUCACUGGGCGUAAAGGGUGCGUAGGUGGUCGGGUAAGUCUGAUGUGAAAUCUCUCAGCUCAACUGAGAAACUGCAUUGGAUACUAUCCGGCUUGAGGAUUGGAGGGGGGACUGGAAUUCUCGGUGUAGCAGUGAAAUGCGUAGAUAUCGAGAGGAACACCAGUGGCGAAGGCGAGUCCCUGGACAAUCCUGACACUGAGGCACGAAAGCUAGGGGAGCAAACAGGAUUAGAUACCCUUGUAGUC
rnacentral:rRNA from 1 species